GACGAACGCUGGCGGCGUGCUUAACACAUGCAAGUCGAACGAUGAAGCUGGAGCUUGCUCCGGUGGAUUAGUGGCGAACGGGUGAGUAACACGUGAGCAAUCUGCCCCUGACUCUGGGAUAACUGCGGGAAACUGUAGCUAAUACCGGAUACUUUCACUGGAAGGCAUCUUCUGGUGAAGAAAGAACGUCGGUCAAGGAUGAGCUCGCGGCCUAUCAGCUUGUUGGUGAGGUAACGGCUCACCAAGGCGACGACGGGUAGCCGGCCUGAGAGGGUGACCAGCCACACUGGGACUGAGACACGGCCCAGACUCCUACGGGAGGCAGCAGUGGGGAAUAUUGCACAAUGGGCGCAAGCCUGAUGCAGCAACGCCGCGUGAGGGAUGAAGGCCUUCGGGUUGUAAACCUCUUUUAGCAGGGAAGAAGCGAAAGUGACGGUACCUGCAGAAAAAGCACCGGCUAACUACGUGCCAGCCGCCGCGGUAA
rnacentral:rRNA from 1 species